AAUGAACGUUGGCGGCGUGGAUUAGGCAUGCAAGUCGCGCGAGAAGUUUCCUUCGGGAGACGGACAGCGGCGGAAGGGAGAGGAAUAAGUAGAAAUCUGCCCUCGGGACGGGGAUAGCGGCGGGAAACUGCCGGUAAUACCCGAUAACAUCUUUGGAUCAAAUGGUGUGAUUCCGCCUGAGGAUGAGUCUACUUCCUAUUAGCUAGUUGGUGUGGUAAUGGCUCACCAAGGCAACGAUGGGUAGCGGGUGUGAGAGCACGAUCCGCCUCACUGGGACUGAGACACUGCCCAGACACCUACGGGUGGCUGCAGUCGAGAAUCUUCGGCAAUGGGGGAAACCCUGACCGAGCGACGCCGCGUGCGGGAUGAAGGCCCUCGGGUUGUAAACCGCUGUCGUAAGGGACAAAUCUAAGAGGGUACUCCCUUUUAGUUGAGUGAUCUUAGGAGGAAGGACGGGCUAAGUUCGUG
rnacentral:rRNA from 1 species